UACGUAGGGUGCGAGCGUUAAUCGGAAUUACUAGGCGUAAAGCGUGCGCAGGCGGUUCGUUGUGUCGGCGGGGAAAGCCCCGGGCUCAACCUGGGAAUGGCCGUUGAAACUGGCGAACUGGAGUGUGGCAGAGGGGGGUGGAAUUCCGCGUGUAGCAGUGAAAUGCGUAGAGAUGCGGAGGAACACCGAUGGCGAAGGCAGCCCCCUGGGCUGACACUGACGCUCAGGCACGAAAGCGUGGGGAGCAAACAGG
rnacentral:rRNA from 1 species